GGCCCGUUGGUCAAGUGGUUAAGACACCGCCCUUUCACGGCGGUAACACGGGUUCGAAUCCCGUACGGGU
rnacentral:tRNA from 1 species